UACGGAGGAUCCGAGCGUUAUCCGGAUUUAUUGGGUUUAAAGGGUGCGCAGGCGGGAGAUUAAGUCGGCGGUGAAAUUUUGCAGCUCAACUGUAAAAGUGCCUUCGAAACUGGUUUCCUUGAGUGUGGAUGAAGUAGGCGGAAUUUGUGGUGUAGCAGUGAAAUGCAUAGAUAUCACGAGGAACUCCGAUUGCGCAGGCAGCUUACUAAACCAUAACUGACGCUCAGGCACGAAGGCGUGGGGAUCAAACAGGAUUAGAUACCCUGGUA
rnacentral:rRNA from 1 species